AGGGCGCCAGGUCCCUGCCCUACUUGCACGCCUAGGAGGGCGCAGGCCGCGUGUCCCUGUGGGUAGAAAGCCCCGGCAGCUUGCAAAGACCUCACGUCACAGAAACUUGCGACGUUUGCCCCCGAUUCGCGCGUCAGGUGCUCCGUCCCUUCUAGGUGGCAGAGGAGAGGGAAGGGUCCCGCCUGGUGGGGCCCUGAGAGCCAAUGGGCUGCGGUGCUCGAGUGUGGACGCCGCCCCCGCCUUCUGCGUCUACAGCCCGGGGUUCUGGGACCUUUGGAAACCGCUUUGGACAAAGCUGAGCAUCUCUUUCCCCACGCUGACCUCCCCCAUAGACUCUGGAUGGGGGUAAAUGAGGGUAAGGGGUGCCGUCACCGCUGGAGCCCCAGGAAACCGAAACAAUGAGCCAGCAGGCAAUGAAAAGGGCAGGCCCACCCCAGGCCAGCUUCAAAGAAAUCCAGAAAGUUCACUCUAGAGAAGCUUGUUUGGCCAAACCUUGCUUUGGGUGGUGAAGACAGAAUAUGAUGUCCCGGAUCAGCGUGUGGUGACUUUGGAGGCAGCGCCUCAGCUUCGUCAGCUCCCUUAGGUGCUGUGGAUCCCUUAGGACAAGGCUCUGUCCCUCAGAGCACUGAGCGCCAUCUAACGCUGUCCUCUUGGAGACGUUGUAUUCACCAGGUAAGAUGGAUUCAGCAUUGCACCCCAGAGUGCCUGACGCACAGCAGGGGCCACAUAAAUACAUCUGCUGGGCGCACGAACACUUCCUCCUUCCUUGCCACCAGCCAGCAUCACAACCAGCCUGGCCAGGCUCCCAGUCCAGCCCAGCCCAGCAGCUAACCCCAGCCUACAGAGUGUUACAGGCCAAGAAAAUGGGGGUCAUGACCAACUCAGUAUACCACUGGAGGCUCUAUCAGUGAAUGGAAAAAUGUUCUCAUGAAAGCAGGAUGUUGGAAAACUGACAACUGCAUCUGCCCCCAGAGGGAGGGCUGAGGGCAGUCAGGCCCUGUUCCUUCUGAUUACCUAUAGAAACAUCUGACGCCUGUUGUAUGAAGAACGCUAUUAUGUGCACCUGUGAUUAAUUAAGCAGCUGACCAACCAUUACCUCUCCCUCCCUGCUCUUUGUCCCUAAUAAAUACGAAGGGCUGUGGAAGCUCAGAGCUGCCUUUGCUCACUAGAAGCGAGGAGCCCCCGACCCCUUCUUUUAAAACAGA